UUCUUAUCAAGAGCAGGCGGAGGGACUAGCCCGAUGAAGCCCGGCAACCGGCGUAAUAGCACGGUGCUAAUUCUUGCGGAAACGACAACGUUUCUGGGAGAUGAGAG
rnacentral:ncRNA from 1 species